GCCAGCUUAGCAUAGUGGUUUGAGCAUUGGACUACAGCCUCUAUGACCAGGGUUCAAAUCCCUACUCAGCCA